GACGAACGCUGGCGGCGUGCUUAACACAUGCAAGUCGAACGAAGAGCGAUGGAAGCUUGCUUCUAUCAAUCUUAGUGGCGAACGGGUGAGUAACGCGUAAUCAACCUGCCCUUCAGAGGGGGACAACAGUUGGAAACGACUGCUAAUACCGCAUACGAUCUGACCUCGGCAUCGAGGAUAGAUGAAAGGUGGCCUCUACAUGUAAGCUAUCACUGAAGGAGGGGAUUGCGUCUGAUUAGCUAGUUGGAGGGGUAACGGCCCACCAAGGCGAUGAUCAGUAGCCGGUCUGGGAGGAUGAACGGCCACAUUGGGACUGCGACACGGCCCAGACUCCUACGGGAGGCAGCAGUGGGGAAUCUUCCGUAAUGGACGAAAGUCUGACGGAGCAACGCCGCGUGAGUGAUGACGGCCUUCGGGUUGUAAAGCUCUGUUAAUCGGGACGAAAGGCCUUUUUGCGAAUAGUGAGAAGGAUUGACGGUACCGGAAUAGAAAGCCACGGCUAACUACGUG
rnacentral:rRNA from 1 species